GGUAUUCAAACAGUUAGUUCGGCUUUUCUUGACCCAACUCGGCCUGGUAAGUCGAAAUAAGUGAUCGGAUGGGCGAUCGCCGACUCUUCUUCCUCGCGAUCGCACCGGCGAGCCCGCCGUGCGUGAGCCGAUCCCUUCGCCGCUUAGGAGGAUUACAGCUUGCUGCCAAUGGCUACAAUACAGCAUUUCAUUGGGAUCUCCUUAACUAAUCUUCUUAAUGUUGAUCAUUGCCCCUUACCAAACAACCAGGACCGAAGGAUCUCACAGAUAUUGCCAGGAAUGCUGGUAGACUGGCAGGAUGAGCAAUUGCAUAUGUUCAAUUAGUUUGUAGGCAGUUGUUUUUAACAGAUGUGCCACCAUCUCAGGCUAGCAAGGUGCACAAAGAACUACAAGAUAGCAUUUCUUUAUUAGAAGCAAGGUUUUUAUGGAAUACAAAGCAUAUCAAUAGUGAACCUAGGUCUAUUUCCUCUGAGGAUGGAUGGACCAGAACAAAUGCAGAGCACUGGAUCUAAGCAGAGCAAAUUCAGUUUCUUAUGGUUUCCACAACCAGUCAAUGAGAUAUUCCAAGCUUGCUGAAGCUUCACUGCCCAGUCAGGUCCUUGUGAAAUUCAUGAAGAUGUGAUGGAACAUGAUGCUGAAGGUGACAUGCUGACUGUUCUUCCUGUGUCUGCUGAAACAGCAGGAUCACUUCCAAAGCAUGGCGGUAAACAUCCCUAGUCGCUGGUAUAAUUCCAUAUUUUUAUUUUGGUAUUGAUAUCAAUAUAUUUUAGACCCAUGCUGUGAAGUUUUUGUAAGUGAAUCGUACUAGGAAAAAUUAGAUUAUUUUAUCGUUACUGGGAACUCAAAAUAUUUAGAGAAGAGAAUGAAGAUUGAGCAAUGGGAGCGGGUGCACUGAAAAUUCAGCUA